rnacentral:rRNA from 1 species
GACAGAGGGUGCAAACGUUGUUCGGAAUUACUGGGCGUAAAGCGCGUGUAGGCGGCAACGCAAGUCGGGUGUGAAAUCCCACGGCUCAACCGUGGAAGUGCACUCGAAACUGCGUAGCUAGAGUCCUGGAGAGGAAGGUGGAAUGCUUGGUGUAGAGGUGAAAUGCGUAGAUAUCAGGAGGAACACCGGUGGCGAAGGCGGGUCUCUGGGCAGUAACUGACGCUGAGGAGCGAAAGCGUGGGGAGCGAACAGG